rnacentral:rRNA from 1 species
UACGAAGGGGGCUAGCGUUGUUCGGAUUUACUGGGCGUAAAGCGCACGUAGGCGGAUCGUUAAGUCGGGGGUGAAUCCUGGAGCUCAACUCCAGAACUGCCUUCGAUACUGGCGAUCUUGAGUCCGGAAGAGGUGAGUGGAACUCCUAGUGUAGAGGUGGAAUUCGUAGAUAUUAGGAAGAACACCAGUGGCGGAAGGCGGCUCACUGGUCGGUACUGACGCUGAGGUGCGAAAGCGUGGGAGCAAACAG